UACGUAGGCAGCGAGCGUUGUUCGGAAUUACUGGGCGUAAAGAGUGUGUAGGCGGUGCUCUAAGUCUGUCGUGAAAUCUCCCGGCUUAACCGGGAGGCUGCGGCGGAAACUGGUGUGCUAGAGGGUGGGAGAGGUAAGCGGAAUUCCUGGUGUAGCGGUGAAAUGCGUAGAUAUCAGGAGGAAUACCGGUGGCGAAGGCGGCAUCCUGGACCGAGAUUGACGCUGAUGAGCGAAAGCUAGGGGAGCAGACGGG
rnacentral:rRNA from 1 species